UACGAAGGGGGCUAGCGUUGCUCGGAAUCACUGGGCGUAAAGGGUGCGUAGGCGGGUCUUUAAGUCAGGGGGGAAAUCCUGGAGCUCAACUCCAGAACUGCCUUUGAUACUGAGGAUCUUGAGUUCGGGAGAGGUGAGUGGAAUUCCCAGUGUAGAGGUGAAAUUCGUAGAUAUUGGGAAGAACACCGGUGGCGAAGGCGGCUCACUGGCUCAUUACUGACGCUCAGGCGCGAUAGCGUGGGGAUCAAACAGG
rnacentral:rRNA from 1 species